rnacentral:lncRNA from 1 species
AAAUGCACAAGGAGAACAUUCACAAAAUGUGGUUAGGUACUAUAGUCGAAACCUGGCCCCAGCUUCAGCCUCAUUGCAUGCUCUUUUACAUGCAUAUGCCCAAGGAGAAAAUUCACAAAAUACGGCUAAUUACUAUAAUCAAAACCUGCCCCCAGCUUCAGCCUCAUCACAUGAUCAUUUACAGACAAAUGCACAAGGAGAACAUUCACAAAAUAUGGCUAACUACUAUUGUCAAAACCUGCUCCCAGCUCCAGCGUUAUCACAAGCUCUUUUACAAACAAAUGCACAAGGAGAACAUUCACAAAAUACAGUCAAUUACUAUAGUCAAAACCUGCCUCCUGCUUCAGCCUCAUCGCAUGAUCUUUUACAUACAAGCACACAAGGAG